UACGUAGGUGACAAGCGUUAUCCGGAAUUACUGGGCGUAAAGCGCACGCAGGCGGCGCAUUAAGUCUGACGUGAAAUCUCCUGGCUUAACUGGGAGGGGUCGUCGGAGACUGAUGUGCUUGAGGCGAUGAGAGGGGUGUAGAAUUCCCGGUGUAGUGGUGGAAUGCGUAGAUAUCGGAGGAAUACCAGUGGCGAAAGCGACACCCUGGCAUUAGCCUGACGCUCAUGUGCGAAGGCGUGGGGAGCGAACGGG
rnacentral:rRNA from 1 species